rnacentral:lncRNA from 1 species
UCAAUCCACGUAUUUAUAUUGUGUUCUUGUUUUAUUUCUUCUUUCUUCCUACUACACCUUAUGGUAUCGGAUUCUAAUGGUGCAACAAUUGGUAUCAGAGAAAGAUGGUGCCAAAGCGUAGGUUGCAGCGAUAGUGAUCGAAAUAGAAUAUGGAGAAGAUAAGCACAAUCAAAAUGGAGAUCAAUAGGUUUGAUGGAAAGAGAAAUUUUUUCUUGUGGCAGG